rnacentral:lncRNA from 1 species
GUCUCACCUCGGAGUACUGGGGAUGAGGGGUGAGCGUCCGGGCAGCAGGCGAGCCCCCAAGGCUGGCCCGCUGACACCGCUGGCGGCAAAAAUUUCUACGGCAGUUUCUCUUGAACCAGGCAGAAAACAACCCCUGAGGCUGCUCGGUGCUCCCUAGUCUCCUGGUUUGCAUUGCACAUCCAUUUUGAGCCUGCUGCUACUGAUGAGAAAAUGACCUCAAACAACUGCCCACUAAAGGUCCCAUGUUGUGACGAUGCCGGGGGCUUUCUGCAUAGCGCUCCGCUUCUCAGACUGAGCAGCUUCUGGAGUUUUGUACAAUGCCUGGGCCUGAGGAAACCUGCCAGGAUAUUCCUGGUAGGAUGAAUGAUCACCCCCCCGUAACAGACAGAGACACCCAGAGCAGAGACAGAGUUCACACUGUGGGAUCUGACUCAAUGUUUGAAUUCUUAGGAGCUCACCACUUCAUUGGAUUUCUCAUGACUGAAAAAAAGAGACCACUAGAAUCUGGAUGAGAUGAGAAUUUAGGUGCUGUUUUAGAUUCCCCUAGAUUAGGUGGAUACCCAAAAGAGUGUGUGGAAAAACUGCAGGGAGGGCCGGGCGCGGUGGCUCAUCCCUGUAAUCCCAGCACUUCAGGAGGACGAGGCAGGCGGAUCAUCUGAGGUCAGGAGUUCGAGACCAGCCUGACCAACAUGGAGAAACCCUAUCUCUACUAAAAAUACAAAAGUACCCGGGCAUGGUGGCACAUGCCUGUAAUCCCAGCUACUCUGGAAGGCUGAGGCAGGAGAAUCGCUUGAACCCAGGAGGUGGAGGUUGCAGUGAGCCAAGAUCGCACCACUGCACUCCAGCCUGGGCAACAAGAGUGAAACUUGGUCUCAAAAAAAAAAAAAAAAAAAAAAACCUGCAGGGAGUCUGAGUCCUCUGAAAUGGGAUGAAAAAUUUAUAUGUAAAAAUUGUGUAUAUUUCCUCCAGCCCCAGGAAGAGAGCCCUGUGUAUUCUGUUGGACAGAUCUGCUGAUUUUCAAGUUUCCAAGACUCCUCCAGACUUAAGAAGUACUGUUUUAUAUUAAAUAUUUUGCAAAGAUGGUUCCAGCUUCCUACCCUUCCAGUUAAAAUAAACAAAAACGAGGGUCUUGAGUGUCUAUGAUUUUCAUAAGAUCUAUGGCGUUUCUUCUGCAGAUGAUCAACAGUUGCCUGCCUUGGACUUUGGAGUUCCCAAGAACUAGAAAAUCCAGGUCAGGAACUGUAUCUUUGCUCAGCCACCUGCAAACAGACUUGAGAACAAUGUAAACCACCCUCUGCAGGAUAUUGAUUCUGAUGGAGUAAAUGUUGAUUAAGCAGAAUGGUGUUUUUUUUUUUAACUGGAGGAAUUCCAGAUCUUUCCUUAGGCCUGUCUCUCCAGGGAAAUGAGCUCUAGCCUUAAAAAUCUACAGAAAACCUGAGUAAGAAUGAAGAUUUAUGAUGGGAGACGCUGGGCGGAAGACGGCUGGCUAUCUGGUGGGCUAUCUAGAAGCUCAUCUUUGUGUUAUUAGAGAAACACUCCCGCUCUUGACAGGAUAUGGUCUGCUUAUCACAUAAUCUUCUCAAGUUUCAUUCCCAUUCUGCUUACAAAUGCCCCAAAUAUAAAGAGAUGCAUUUCAUCAAGACAGCCUUUUAAGAGGCAGUUGAUCCCAGCUGUUGCCGUCUAUCUUAAACACCUACCUUUUCACCCUAGUGUGGAGUUUACAUGUCGAUAAGCGAUGUAAAAAAGGGAACUUGAGAAAUCUCAGCAGAGGAAAAACACCGAGCCUGUCUCUGGGGAUUGGAGUAGGAGUAAAGAGCUCAGGAAGCUCUAAGUUCCAGAACACCCCUCCUUUUCAGAGAGGAGCCCUGGGGCGAUGCUGGCCUGCCCCAGGCCUUGAGCUGAUCUCAAAUACCAGGGACUGGAAACCGUUUUCCAGGCACAUAAGCUGAGGGAUUCAUUGCCUGCUACUUUGGCAUUUUCUUGUCAAGAGCUGGUGGUAAAAUAGUAGUGAAAGAUGCAGGUAGGAACAGGAGAGCCAGACCUGGAAGGUUUUGGCUCACCCAUGGACCCUCCGUCCUGGCAUUGUCCAUGCUCAUCCGUGAUGAAUUCUCAAUACCUGAUUUCAUGACACACAUAUGUAGACCUGGGAUGCAUUCCCAGACGGCCAAGUGGGAUAUGCUGCCAAAUGACCUGUGAGUUUUCUCUCACUCCUGAGUCUGCAAGCUCAGAAAGCCAGGGGCUCUUAGAGGUUGCUAAGUCCAGAAGACUUUUAUGCAGAAUACCGAGGGAGGAGGUUAGAAUUAAGUAUUAAGUGGGCAAAACAGGAGGGGUCAUUUCAGAGUCCUGCUUGGGUCCUGGUGCAGCCUGUUGUAGCUGAUAGGGAUGGAGGCGGGGAGGUAUCUCCUUUGUUGAAGAAAUAAACCUGUGACUGUGAAUCCAGUCUGCUCCCUCCUAAAGACUGGGCUGCAGUGUUUGAAGUCGGAACUGGUGUGUUUCGGGAAGCUGGCUGCAUCAGGUUCCCAUUAGCCCAGGCAGCUGCACCAGUGGGUUCACACCAUGACAUGGUAACAAUUAAGCCUUCUGCUACUGGUCCUUACCCUGGGGUGAGGCUCUUUUCUUUUUUACCAAUGUGACUUAAAGUUGCCCUGGUUUCCUUGUGGCUCGAUUUCCUGCAGAUUCCCGUUACUUUAUGUCUAAUCUUCUGAGACCACUCAUUAGACCACACAAAUUGUAACAAUUGUCUCCAGCACACAGAUCCUGUUCCAGACCCUCAGUGUACCUAGGAAAAAGACUAUCUCUCUGAAACGUGAGAGUUACUUCCUGUGUAAAUAGACGAAUUCCAAAAAAUCCGAGGCAAAAAUAUUAGGGAAAAUAAACUAAUUAUACUCCCAUACCCUGAGGCAUUCUAAAAUUAUUUUCUUCCUUUAAAAAAAAAAAGCAGUGGGUUAGAACAAUUAUUUCCAUUUUCAGUGAUGAGAGAGAUAAUACAUGUACAAAUGACUGUAGUAUGAAGCAGAAAAACGAAAAGAUAUCAUUAAAUUCUAUGGUUUUUCCAAGCAAGAAAAAUAUUUCUUUAUAGAGAAUAAGCCUGAUCAGAGAAAUUGCCAUUUGAGCUGAAACUUGAAAAAUAGGUGGAAUUUGGAUAUAUAGAAGUUGGCAGAAAGAAGAAAGAAGCAUUUAGGAGAGGGAACAAAAGCAACAAAAAUGUGGGCAUUUUCAUAGGACUUACUGUAGCUUAAGCACUGAUAGACGCUGUGGGAAGUAAAAUAAUGUAUAGAUGCCUCUCGAUUUACAACGAAGUUACGUCCUGAUAAGUCUAUUGUAAGAUGAAAAUAUUGUAAGAUGAAAAUAUUGUAAGAUGAAAAUGCAUUUAGGCGACGGGCACAGUGGUUCAUGCCUGUAAUCCCAGCACUUUGGGAGGCU